rnacentral:lncRNA from 1 species
GAGGGUGUGAGCUGAGGUCUCCUGGGUACACCAGCCAGCCCACGGCACAGAGCCUGCCUGUUGGUCUCUACCCACAGGGGAUCCCCUGCUGCUCCACCAUCAGAUUUGGGACACCACCCCCCCCCCGGCCCCACCAGAGGGCAUCAGCUAUGCCUAGAAGGGGACCACAACAGACUCGACAGGAUCCACCGGUUGGGCCCAAGGCAGGAGGAAGGGCGGCGCCCCCAAACUCCCAGGACGCCUGCAGCACCCCCCACGCGCCGCUCUCCGCCUCUGGGGAGCAUCCUGCCACCCCCCGACACACACACCCCGGCUACAUCCCGCCUUCUCACGCUUGGUCAGGCGCUCUGGAGAUGUCGGAGAUCCAGGCUUUUCCUAAAGAGUCAGGAUUGGAAGGCGGACUCCCACCGUUUGCUGAGCUCCACAUGACAACAGCAGACGACAGGCCGCACUGAUCCCACCUGGCUUACAGGUGCUGUCACACAGGACUGCUGACUAAACACUUUCAAGCACAGUGGACCCUUGAACAACGCAGGUUCAAACUGUGCAGGUCCACCCACAGGGAUGUUUUUCAAUCAGAGUUAUACCAAGUGUCCCUGCCUCUCCUGCCUCCCUUCCCACUUCCUCCAUGUCUUCCUCUCUGCCACCCUGAGGCAGCAAGACCAGCCCCUCCUCCUCAGCCACUCAACAUGAAGACAACGAGGAUGAAGACUUCUAUGAUAAUCCACUUCCACUUAGUAAAUGCUUUCUCUUAUGAUAUUCUUAAUGACAUUUUAUUUUCCCAAGCUUAGUUUAUUGUAAGAAUACAGUAUAAAUACACAUACAAA